CAACAGAUGUUAGCUCAGGGCCAAACUUCCUCACCAAAAAAAUAAAAAUAAAAAAAAUAAAUAAAAACGAUCAUGUUCAUACCUGUUGCAUGGGUAGGUAUUAAUAACAUAAUAUACCUAUAAAGAGCUUAACACAGGGUUUGGCAAGUAGUGGGCAUUCAAAUAAUAGGAAUUUUAUUUCUCCCUUCUCUUUCCAUCCUUCCUUCUCUUUUUUUCUGUUUUCUUUUCUUACUUCAAAUGAAAAGCUGACUUAUCUUUCCAAAUUGGAAUAAUAAUGAUAAACUUUCGAACACUCCCAUAGUGCCUCUGCUGUGCUUUUUCUACGUUGUUUCAUAAAUGAGACAUCAUAGCCUAAUGAUCGCACAGUUUGAUGCUAUUAUCUUUUUCUAGAUGAGAAGACUGAGGCUCAGAAAGGCUAAGAAACUCAGCCAAAGGUUGCACAGGUCCUAUCUAGAAGAACACAACCCUACCUUCUGAACCCUCCCAGAGAAACGAAAGUGUUUGAGCAUUAAUUCUGUUGAGGGGUGAUCCUCAAACUCCAGCUGUUCUUUGUAUGGCUAAGAGUGCCAUUAACUGGAUGCGACUCAGCACUGAGCUUUUUCCUUACUUUUGAGUGGGCCACAAGUGGCCACAAACUGAAAAAGGCAUAGGAUGAGAGAGCUAAAACAAGGGAAGAAAUGAACACACCUCUGCAUAAUUGUGUAACAUGUCAACUCAUUUGUGAGAAAUUACGAGGCAGUUAUGAAUAUAUUCCUAGUCCCUUCGUGAGCUUAGACUGCACAAUCUCUGAGAAUAGAUAUGUAUCCUUGGGAGCCACGCUUGUGUUUGGUUCAACAGUUACUCAUUAGCCAAUCCAGGGAGGGAAGAGGCUGCUCUGAAACCCCUACUAGUGCACAGAUCUUAAAGAGAACCGGGCUAAAAGGGCCCGCACUACCCAGGCUGGAUUGCAGGACCUCUAGCACUAAAAGUCUCUCUCCCCCUGGAUCAUUUUGUGGAAGCUGGAGUGUGACACACAUUACUGUCUACCAGAAUCUCCCAGAUGAUUGCUUUCAAGCUGCAGUUCUCCACCCUGGCUGCACAUUGGAAUCACCUGGGAGCUUUAGAAAAUCCUAAUGUUUGGGUUCCACCCUCCAGAGAUUGUGAUUCAGUGUUCUGAACAUGAGUAUUUUAGAAACUCCCCAGGCAAUUCUAAUCUGCUGCCCAGACUGAGCACCAGUGCCUUAAGCCUGUUGUACCUACACAGCCUCGUCUGACGGCACUUUGGGAAAAAGAAAGAGUCAGGGCAGGACUGCAUCUUGUUCAACGUGACUCUCUCUAUCCAUCAGCCCAGCAAAUGGAGGGCGACUAAGAGCUCUGGGUAAUGACCUGCACUGGGGAGAGGGACAAUGGUCCUCGGCUAGGGGUAGAAGCAGUUUGGAGAAGCACGGAGGCUGAGCAGCAAUAUUCAAGCAGAGAUGUCAGGAGCCAUUUUCAAAUAAGUAAAUCUAAAUUUUUUGCUUUUUUCAACACAUAUGAGAUGAAAGCUGAGGUCAUAGUGGCAAAAUCAGAAUUCAGUCUCAAAACCUGAGCUCAUUCCACUGUACCACAAGCAUUUUCCAUGACUCGUACCCCAAAUCUCUAUAUGUGUUUCAAGCCCAGUGUUCAGGCAGAGACUCAUUUCCUUUUACCUCUGAGCUUUUUACUGCCUCUGAGCUCAUUUCACGUUCUCUUACUUAACGCCUCCCACCUCCGUUCCAUUCAUUAAGGUCUAGAUCAGGCCCAAACUCCCUCUGAGGUCUUCCCCAAAUACCCUAACCCACAUUGGUCCCUCCCAAUCCAGAAAUUACAUUAUACUUCCGAUUGGCAUCACGUGGACAAUUGUCACUUAAUAUAUGCAUGUACUUAAGUUCUCUUUCUACAACUGGAUUUUAAGUUUCCCGUGAGUAGGCAUCAUGCUUUACUUCUUCUGUGGUUCUUACAUGCCAGGCACAUAGUGGGUACUCCUGAAAUAUAUGAUCAAGUGAUGGAUUACGGAUACUAAUAAUCCUCAAUCUUCUCAAGGAAAGAAUAUAAAAAGCAAGCAAGACAGAUUCCAAGGAUGGAAUAUGAUAAAGAAUUAUCAUGUUAAACUUGAUAAAUGAGACUUUUUAAUGAGAGUGGAGUUCUUUCAGUGCACCUGUUUUACAAAUGUGUAAUCAGAUUUUAAGCACAAGACCCCUGCCCCCAACUUAACAUUUAGACACGACAUCAUUGUUUCCUAUGACUCAGUUAGAUUAUGAGAGCAUUCAACUAUCUCAGACUGUUUUUUCUAGAGUUUUCAUUUCUCUUUUUGUCCAUCUCCUUGACCUUCUCCCUUGUUUGAAAUCUAUAUUCUCUUCUUUACUGGAAAUUCUAACUCUAAACGUCCCACUGCAAAUCUGGCAUUUGAAAGAGAACUUCUGGGGCAUUGAGAUAAUUUUUCCCUCCUUUCCAAGAGCCAAGUUUCUUCCCUUUUAUUUUCCCAAAUGCCACAGCCAAUUAUGACCUGAAUACCUCAAUGAAUUCCAAGGAAAAAUGCCACUUGCUUGACUGACCUCAUUGUUGGGACCGUCUUUCAAAAGGGCUACUUGAACAUUUGUUUUUCUCCUUUUGAGAAAAUUCUACCAUUAGACCAUUUAAAAUAAUUUGUUAUUAUUCCAAUUCCUUUUAGCUAUAAUUUCAAAGUCUUUUUUUUUUUUGUACCUUACCCUUCCUAGAUUUCACUAGUCCCUUUUUAAUUAGGAGAACUGAAAAGGGGGGCUUCAUUAAGACAAUGAAGGGUGUUGUGGAUUCAAGACUCACACUCAUUCUGUGACGGAUCAAUGAAAGGUUGGCCACAGUUCACCUACAGGAGGAUUUGGAGUUUGAUACAGAACAUCGAUCAUCAUUUCUGGUGUCCAUCCAAAUGACCUCUGGACCUCUUUCAAAAGUCUGUGUGUCUGGCCCAUCCCCCUGAGAUGGACUUAAGAGAAGCCUGCGCAACAUCAGCAACAAUUUCACCUUUUUAAGAAAACAGAUGGGUUCAAUAAACUGUGGCUGUUGUUCUUAACUCACCUAGACCUCUGCGCCCCUUUUGCUGAAAAUAAACUGCUACAAGGGAGAAUGUGUAAUGUUCGCAGAGUUCAUUCAAACUCCAGCUCUCUUUAGAAUUAUGAGUGCUCAUUGUCUUAGAUUUCUAUUAGAUAGAGAAAAACAAAGCCCUUAGAGUAGAGAAUGAGAUAAGAAGGUUAUGGUCUCAUAUCCUCAUGAACCUUCAACUUCGGGCUCUACCUACAAGCACAUAGACCUCUCCAACACAACAAGAAGGUUCUCAAUUGCCUGUUGCUCCUCCACCAACAGAGUUUGACUGUCACCUGUGAACAAAACUUCUUUGGGUGCACCCUGUUACUAGAGAAACCAGGUCUGCUCAUGGUCCAGGACUGAAUUCACUCAUGUCAGAAGGCUGGAAAGUUUUGGGUAUCAUUUAUUUAUUACUUAAUAUCUUGUAUAAUAGGAAAAAAAAGAGCAGAACCAUUUGGACUCUGCUCAGUGAUGUCCUCAAAGCUCUGUUUCAACGGGAUUAAAAGAUUCCGUAGUGAGACCUCGCACAAAGGGGGGCUGCAGCGGUCCCCUAUGGCAGGAGUCCCGCAACAGCGGGUCUAGGUGCUGGUGUAUGGCCAGGAUGUCAGAGUUUUUAAAAACUCUACCGGUGAUUCAGCUAUGUCCCCAAGGUUUAACACCUCUGCCUAGAAUCACUUGAGGAGUUUGUCGAAAUGUGUGCUGCCUCGUGUUACGCCUGGUAACGGAGCACACGGAGAGCUGCCGGUCACCACACUGCCUUCCUUCGUUUCCCAGCCGUCUCUGAGGCCCUCCUCUGUGCAGCAUUGGAUUAAGUGUUGGGCAGAUAGUAGUGAUGUGGCAUCCACAGCCCUGGCCUCCAGGGACCUACCAUCCAGUAUCUUUCUCUUGGAUGGUAUUUGUAAGAAAGAGCGUGGGCUUCUAGUUCCUCCUUCGUUUAUGUCUGGGCACUGCUAUUAGUGACAACGCAUUGAGCCUCUGGAAGCUUGGUUUGCUCAUGAGCCAAGUAAGGAUAGUAAGACCUCCACACACUGUUACAGGUAUUAACUGUAAUCAUGUGUAAAUAUGCAUGAACAAAUAGAAGGCAUUAUUUCUGGGGACUCCCACUCAGAUUCUUUUUUUCCUCCUUUGGAUUUUGCUUAUCUUUUCCAUUUAGUCAGAGACAUUUUAGCAAUUCCAACUCCAUCUUUGACUCACUAUGCAGACUACAGCAAAGGAGUUAAUAUUUGGACCUAGUUUCUUUAUCUUGCUAAAGUGGGUAGCAGACUCCAAGAAUGCUAUGAGGAUAAUUUUUAAAAUGAAAACAUGGUUUUAGAUAGCGUGGCAUUUGAUAUCGCUAGGAUCCUGUCAUGAAUCUGUCAUUGUGAUUUCAGAAACUUGCUUUUGGCUGCAUUAGUCGCGGCUUUGGACUCUUUCUUAUGGGUGCGGACUCUGUUCAAUUCAAGGUUAGCCUGUUUUGCCAGCUUCCCAUCUUGGACAAAUCACUUUCCCCAUUUGCAUGGUCUCCUUAGCUCUGUGAUGCAGAGCUCCCAGGAAGAUGGAGAGGACAUUGUGAUGAUAUUUUGAUAUGGAUGUUAUUUGUUACAAAUCUAAAAGGAAUACAAAUCUGGGGUCAAGAACGACAAGGGUGAGAGAAGAUAAAGAUAGUCAGUUUUGUCAUGCUAACCUUCAUCUAAGACCCCAUUCACUUUGCAUCUCUUCUAUAGCAAUUGGCACUUUUGUCCCUUGUAUUAAAAUUACGUAUUAUAUUAGUUUUCUAUUGUUAUUAUAACAAAUUACCACAAACUUAGUGACUUAAAACAACAGAAAUAUUCUAGCCCACAGUUCUGGAGCUCGGAAAUCUGACAUGGCUCUCACUUGACUAAGAACAAGCUGUGGGCAGAUGGUAUUCCUUCUGGACACUCGAGGGGAGAAUUCAUUUUCUUGCCUCUUCCAGCUUCUAGAGGUCACAUUCCUUGGCUCUGAUUUUAGGGAAUCGUGUGAUUGGGUUGAUGCCACCCAAAGAAUCCAGGAUGAUGUCCUCUAUCACAGAGUCCUUAACCUUAACCACAUCUGCAAAGUCCCUUUCGCCGUGUAGGGUAACCUAUUCACGGGUCCCAGAGGUCAGGGAGUGGACAUCUUUGAGUGGCUAUUAAUGUGCCUACCACAUGUAUGUAUGUCUUAUUUCUUCUACUAGAUUGUAAACUUCUUGGGGCCCAAAAUGUGUAUCUGAUUUGUUGUGUUCUCCUCAGAAUCUACCCAACAGGACUACACACAACAAAGGGUUCAACCAGCAUUUGUUGAAUGAUCCAACAGAACUCAAAACAUUUCAAAGAUUCAUUGAAGCAAAUGGCAAACUCAUGGGGUUUCAAGAAUUCCUGAAAGAAUGGCUAUUUAGAUAUUUCCAAAUCCACUGGAAAAUUCACAAACACUUAAAUAAUUUUGUAAGUAUAGGAUUACAAAAAUUAUUUUUUAUCUUCAGUGCUUAUACAUGACUAUAGUUAUGUGCCCAUAUUACAUAUUCCAGGAUGCUCUGAUGAUGUUACUUUCCAGCUGGAUUCCUGUCUGUCAGUAGAGGUUAUUCCUGAGUGUUUUAUAGUGAUGAUAAGCACUAGUCAACAAUUGAAAAUCAGGUGCCACAGGAAAGACUGAGUAUUGCCCGUCAGAUGUCAGCCAUAGAAGGGUCAAGGGGAAAUUAAUAUGAUAGGGCUGGCUUGAGAUCUUGCCUUGGGCAAUUAACUUGCUGAUAAUUUGCAACAUUCAUUUUAUGUAGAAUUGAAUGUGAUGUGUUGCUAGACUCCCCAAAGGAGUAGCUUUUAAGAAAGGUGUCUUUUAUGGUUUGCAUCACACAGUUUUGCAAGUGGUGCAAAGCAGCUACAGACUCUGGAAUCUAUAGCUGGCAGGAGAAAUAAAUAUUUCCGUAUUGCAUUUGGCAAUUGCUAUGUAUUAAGGCAAUUUUGUUUAAAAAUUAUUAAGGGCUUUGUAGCACAAAGACCCUGUUAAAUUACACAGAAAGGAUUACAUUUAGGAGGUGGGGUGAACUGAGGGAUAUUGGAUAUGCAAGCACAGAUGGUCUUGAUCGACUCAUGAACACACCAGAGCCAAGGGGGAAGUGUAUGUUUUGUGUGGUUACAUAUGUUGUAAAGAAAAUUGCCCCUGGUUCUUUCCUGUAAAACAGUAUGAGGAGGGAAGAAAAGGGGAGAGACAAGACCACGCGGGGAAAGGUGAAGCAGAGACAAGAGCAGCAUAUGCAGCAGCUGUCUGGCCAAGGGAGGAACAAAGAGAGGGUGAGGAGGCAGGGGAGCCAAAUCCCUUCCCUGGCAGAAUGCCAUAUGGAAAAGAAACAACAUUUUAAAUGGGUUUCUGAAGAACUGCAAUUGACAUGAAUACCAGAAAACUUCACAAAACCACUAAAUAUUUGGCGAGCAUGGAGUCUACUGGAGGUUUUAAAAAGUCUGAAGACAAAUUGUUAUGUUAAGAGAAAAAGUCUUCCGACCAUGGCUGACCUAUCAACUGACCAAUGACUUUCCCCGCCGAGCAUUUAAAUCACCAGACUUCAGAACCAGAGACUUCCCUCAUUCCCCAGCCUCCCCGCCAAUGGUUUGGAAGGGGUCAGUGUAUUGCUUCGGCUCCCCUGGCGUGAGCAGGCACAAUGUCUGGUCUGGCCAGCCAUCCAAACCACUUUCCCAUACAUCAAGGAUCCAAAAUAAUUUCACCAGACACUCUAAAGUACAAAUGCAAUAUGCCAAUUUCCAUCUCACGUAUCUUCCUAGAAAACAGAGAUCUACCCACAGUCCAUGAUAUUUUUGCUCAUGGACUGAACACAGAUCUUGGCAGAUGUCUCAGAAACCCGGGAAUUGAUAUAUGGCUAGCGAUAGUGCUAAAUGCAGCAUCUUUCCUACUGGGCAUCAGUGCACAAUUACAAAGUGAAUAAUAAAGAAAGAGGGGGUCCAUAUUUGACCCUUUUUGAAAGGGCUUCUAGGGGUAAGAACAUAGUGAAUUUCAAGCCAGAAGGUGAUAUGACAUUACAGCAAUAGGGGUAUAAUACAUUUUCCUGAAGCCAUAAGUCCUCAUAGAAUUUUCAGAUAAAAAUCUUUGCAUUUCAAUGUCCAAGUCAGCAGUUUCAGUAAAACUGUACAUGUCAAAAGAAAAUACAUCAGUGCUGGGUUCAUAUUCUGAUUUCCUUGGACUUUGCAGUGGUGAGAAUUCUGCUGUUCUCCUUAGAAUGCCAGCCAAGCCUGAAAAAUACUUGUUAUAGAAUUUCAGAUGCUGACAAGGCCAGUCUGGUUUAUUCAUAACAAGUACUGUGAGAGUUGAAGACAUGCCACUUCAACUGAAUGGGGAAAAACGGGGCAUCUUUCUGAGCAUCAGUGGAGAAAUCUGUAAAUACUUAGCUGUUCUUCAAUCUGAGAUCACAUACGUGCCUUAGACUUCAUUCUACUUUUUGUGAAAAGAACUGUUUGUCUUUUGGGCAUGGAGGGAACAAGCUUUCCUCCACCCCCUUAGUGCCCCAUUUCUCUUCCAUUCAGAGCCAGAUCAAUAGCUACUGGUCACUCUUGUCCUCUGACUUCAUGGUGGUUGCCAGAGUUAAGCUUCCCUUACGCUCACAUCUCCAUUGAUGAAAGCUCAGGCUUGGGAGCUGGCCAGAGAACAGGGAGGUCAAAGCCACUGUCAGAUUCUGCCUCUGUUCAGCUACUUAAGCACCAGACUUGUCCCACAUAGAUCAUUACCCUCUCAGUCUCUGGCGAUUUUAAGUACCAAGCUUUAUUGACCUUCUGUGUAUCUGACUCUUCUAGCACUGUCGUCUUUUGGAAUCUAGCUGUAUUUCAUCUGUUAAGAAUUUUUGUGGUAUGAGAAAACUGUCUAUAAGCUGAAGCUAGCACCUAAUAAAUGACAGAGCUCUGCAGGCUUUGCAGGGGAGUACAUGAA